UAAACGUUGUAAAGUACUAAGCUCGGGGAUAAUAAUGACGGUACCCGAGUAAAAAGCCCUGACUAACUUCGUGCCAGCAGUCGCGGUAAAACGGAGAGGGCAAGUGUUAUUCGUAUUGACUGGGUGUAAAGGGUACGUAGGCGGUUAUUUAAGUUAUAAAAAAAAGCUAUAUCUUUUUAUAAUACUAUAUGACUAGAGUUAAAAAGGGGAUGGCGGUACCUCCAGUUUAGAAGUGACAUUCGUUUGAGAUUGGGGGGACCAACAAUAGGCGACGGCUGCUUUCCAUUUUUAUACUGACGCUGAGGUACGAAAGCAUGGGGAGCGAACAGGAUUAGAGACCCUGGUAGUCCAUGCCCUGACCUAUGAAUAUUAAUCGUCCAUUUAGAUAGUGGAUGACUAAGCUAACGCGAAAAUAUUCCACCUGAGGACUACGGCCGCAAGGUUAAAACUCAAAGAAAUUGGCGGAAGAUCGUUUAAGCGGUGGAGUAUGUGGUUUAAUUCGAUAAUACGCGAAAAACCUUACCAAUCUUUGUGCACAUUUUCGGUUAUACAAAACUCGUAGUCUGGAUUGAGGUGGUCAAUUUGGACUAAUUAUGUGCCAGGCGUUGCAUGGCUGUCGUAAGCUCGUGUCUUAGGAUGUGUGGUUAACUCCAUGAACGGGCGCAACCCUUGUUCCUAAUUAGAUUAGGAAUGAAAACAGUGAAAACUGCUUUUGAGGAUGAGGAGUAUGUCAAGUCAAUAUGACCUUUAUAGAUUGGGCUACACACGUACUACAACGGUAGUUACAAUGAGAAACAAUGCCGUGAGGCGGAGUAAAUCUCUAAAAUCUACCCUAGUUCGGAUUAUUUUUUGAAAUAAAAAUAUGAAGCCGGAAUCGCUAGUAAUCGCAAAAAAGAAUGUUGCGGUGAAUAUUAAGACCGAUCUUAGUACACACCGCCCGUCACGCCAUGGAAGCUUGUUUGGUUUGAAGAUAUUAAGUCACAUGUUUCGAAGUGAUUAUUCCUUAAUAAGUUCAUGUUAUGUGUGUUAC
rnacentral:rRNA from 1 species